CUCCUACAUUUCUCCUUUUCUUUGGUUAGAUUUCUUAAUCUAAGAAAUUGUCAUAUAUUGUGCUUAGGUACUGUUUUAUCAGCCAUAUGUAUGUUGAAGUAAUGUUUAUGCACUAUUUCAUACCCCUUUUCUUCAGAUGAGAAGCCCACCACAUCUGAUCAUUCAUGCAUCUUUAUCAGGGCAUUUCCACUGGGCUUCCUGAGACUGAGAGGUUGCAAUUGCCACUUAUACGAACACUAGCAGAACUGGAGAAACUAUCCAAUACAAGCACCUGAUUUGCUGUUGAAUAUGAUUGUGUACCUGCGUACCAGUGUUCACGGGGUCAUACCCACUUGUGAGACAAAGUAUUCUUCUCUGAUCAAUGGGACAACAGGAUAAUAGGAAGACACAGCUCAGGUUUAUUUACUGCUGCUUAUCUGUUUUUCAUGACUUCAUCAACCCGUAAAAGAUUCUUCUACACUUGAAGCCAUAUUAAAUAAGCCACAUUCAAUAUAAACUUCUUGAUAAUCAUGAAUAUAGAAAUGGAACUUUAUCUCGAGUUGAGAAUUGGAGAUUGAUAUGAAGUAUGAAGGUUUAUCGCAUGGUAAUAGUCAGUCACAGCUAGUAAUUUUUGUUAUGAUUGUGUUCUUUUGUUGUAGUAAAUUUAUAAAUUUAUUAGGGAAGUUGGUGAACUGCCAGAGAAACAAUACAUACAGCAUUCAUGAUGUCCAAUAGUAAUGCGUGGUGCAUCUCUUGCACAGACAUUUUAACAUACAGCAUUGGAGUCGUAUAGAUUAUGGUGCAUUUGUUGACUCCUGAUCUCAUUGUCAUCGGACGAGUGCAUCAUGGAGUAACAUGUUCAGUUCUUUGGUAGCUGUGCUUUGCUGAGUUCCUUUGUUUUCUUGAGAUCCACGUACAUGAUGAAUUCCUUUGUUUUGUUUGUCAACUUGGAAAUUCUGCUGACUGAAACUUUCCACGGUAAGUGCCCCGUCUGUUUUGAGAAUGUGAACAGGAACUUUGUGAAUGAUAACCUGCAAACCUAAAUGGGAAGCAUUCUGCAGCUCUUAUGUGAAGGUUGGAUAUUAGUUAAGUUUUGAAUUUCUGUCCACAUCUUGUCUCAAACCUGCAGCUACAUCUUGCCCCAUGCCUGCAAGAAUGCAGAUCGGGAGGCCAGUUUUGUGGUCUCGUUUUAUUUGAACCAUAUAACGAUGCAUUUGUAGGUACGGCCGCAAACAAGAGAGUAACCGUCGAUGGCUGACACAGGAGUGUAGGAGACAUCAAGACUAGCUGAGAUCAGCCGUGGUUCUUCAGAGGAAGUGGCCCUUGUCUGAGCUGCAUAGUUCUUGAGAUGAAGAGCAACAAAGCUUUUCAGUUUUAAUGGACAAUAUCAUGCUGAAGUGCCAUCGACUAUUGUAUCCUCUCUAUGUGAUUUAUCAUUGCAAGAUGGGAUAUCAAAGUAUUUAUCAUGCUGCUUCUUUCAUGGCUGGUGUGAUGACGACAGAGAUAAGCCAUUCAAAGUUCUUUGCUGGUAACAAGGCAGUUUGCGGUUUGCUUGGUCAGAAACAUGGUUCUGGAUGCUGAUUGACGUAGUUGGUGCUUCAGUCCUAUGAGUAACCACUUUCAUUGUACCUGAUUUUGAUUGAUUACCUUGUCUGAUGAAUAGUUGUUCAGUUCACAUGACCAGACAUUGUGAAACAUUACUUGAUUGAUUUAUAUCUUGCUGCUUGGUGCA